UAGGUCUUCAAUGCCAAAAGUCAAGGCAAAGGGUGGGUGGGUAGAACAAUGAAUAGAGAAGCAGACUAGAAUUUAUAGGGAAUUUGUGGAAAUGGCAUCUCCAUCAGAAAGAUGAAUGGGCCCACAUCUUUUAUGCCUUCCUUAGUUCUUCCUGGUUGCCCUGCUUUACUUUUGGCAAUGACAUCACCUUACGUCAUCAUAUUCUAUGGCAGUUGUGCUCCUUGCCCCUUCCCUACCAACCAGCUGGUUACUAUAGGAACAGUAAUAAACAAUUUUGCAUCAUCCCCAUUCCAUUGCCUACUCUUUACCAGAUGCUUGUUCAGUUAGGAGUGGUGGUAGUGCUCUUUCCAGUGACAGAAAAAUACUUCCCCAGUCAGCUUAUUCACCAUGGCCGUGACAUCUGGAUCAUUUAUCAUGGCACAGGCUGCAACCUGCACCAUGAGAGAAAGCAGAAGCGAACCGGUGAGCCAGUGCCAGACAACUUUACCUCUAUUAGCUCUUCACCACAUGUGGUCUCCGCUGCUACUACCGCCAUGACAUCCUCCUUUUGGUCAUUAGCUCUCACAGCAAGGUCCUCCUAUUCUGCUGGGAGCCCUUGAGCCAGUAAAGAUGGAGGCACAAGGCAACUGUAACAACUAGAGAUAAGUCCUUCCUCGAACCAACCAACCAGGCAUUGCAGAGCAAUGUAUGUGCU
rnacentral:lncRNA from 1 species